GAGUUUAUCAUGGCAGAAGAAGGUGAAUGAUGGAAGAAAAAAGUGGGAAUAUUAACAUGUGGGCACUUUUGUUCCAAAUGCAGUGGAACCUAUUACAGAUGGAAAUGGGUUUUUAACAGCAGAAGAAAUGAAAUCUUUUGGCUUUGCAAAUUGAUAGCACGAAUUUCUUUCUGACUGAUUGAAUUGCUGCAUUACCCAAUGGGGUGUCUGGUGAGAUGAUACCUUAAGUAUAUCUUAAAGGAUUGUUGGCAAAGUUAGUGACCAGAAUUGUCCUCUGGAGGAAGUUACUGUUUAUUUGGGGUAAGCAACUAGACAGAAGAUUUUCACUCAUGAUUUGCAGGAUGGUGAUUCUUAGAUAUGCCCAGUCGGGUGCUCGUAAUAGUAUUCAUUGGGUAAUCAGUUUCUUUGUUGUAUAUCGGUCAAAAGUGAAAGGUUUCAUCUUGGACACUAACGGAGAUUUUACAUUGUAGUUUCUGUGGUUUGUAUAUGAGUAGGCCACUGAAUUGCUAACAAAAAUAUUAUUACAAUGGCAUGUGAGCUUUGGAAUCUGUGCUAGUAAGAUGUUGAAUUCUGUAGAGCUUAAC
rnacentral:misc_RNA from 1 species